AAAGCCCUAAGGUGGAGAGCUCUUAAAAAGCCACAGGGUGGAGAGCUUCCAGAAAGCACCACUGUGGAGAGCUCCAAAAGAUUCCCGGGGUGCACAGCUCCCAAAAAAACCCAUGCUGGAGAGGUACGAAAAAACCAGUGCUGAACACCUGCCAAAAAAAAACCACCCGGAUGUACUCCACGAGCUCUGCCAGGUGAUGAACUCCUCCAAGGUAGGUAGUUGAUGCACUCCUCAAAGGCUGAGCGGAGAAGGACUCCUCCAAGGCUGUGCAGUGAAGCACUCCUCCGGGGCAACGUGGUGAAGUACUCCUCGGGGGCACCGCGCUGAAGUAAUCCAAAAAAUCCACGUGUUGUAGACUUCCAGAAAGAAAUCGAUCCUCUCAGCGCUCGCCAAAAAGAAAAAUGGUGAAGCGCUUCAAAAAGCCCUCAGGUGGAGAGCCCUUCAAAAGCCCCAGGGCG